rnacentral:rRNA from 1 species
CUUGCCUUCGGGUACAAUUGAGACAGGUGGUGCAUGGUUGUCGUCAGCUCGUGUCGUGAGAUGUUGGGUUAAGUCCCGCAACGAGCGCAACCUUGUGUUUAGUUGCAAACAGGUCAAGCUGUGCACUCUAGACAGACUGCCGUGGACAACACGGAGGAAGGUGGGGAUGACGUCAAAUCAUCAUGCCCCUUAUGAUCUGGGCUACACACGUGCUACAAUGGCCGGUACAACGGGCAGCGAAGGAGCGAUCCGGAGCGAAUCCUAAAAAGCCGGUCCCAGUUCGGAUUGCAGGCUGAAACUCGCCUACAUGAAGUUGGAGUUGCUAGUAAUCGCGAAUCAGAAUGUCGCGGUGAAUGCGUUCCCGGGUCUU